rnacentral:rRNA from 1 species
CGCGGGAAAUCUUACCGGGUCCGGACACACUGAGGAUUGACAGAUAUAUACCCCGUGAUUUUAUCGCGGGGUUGAAAGAUGCUAGUUCUUUCAUGAUUAUGUGAUAGGUGGUGCAUGGCCGUUCUUAGUUCGUGGAGUGAUCUGUCUGCUUAAUUGCGUAUCAAUAAUAGAGACCUAGUAUACGCGUAGACUCAUGCGGUAGUGACCCCCCUUCACAGGGCGCGUGUCGCACGUAUGUUAUACGCACAGGUCUCCGAUAGCAACGAACGUGACCGUACUCUAUUGUUGCAGCGACAAUACCUUUCAACGGGUAUUACCGCUGCUUAGCAAGAUUCGUCUUGCAUUAAACUAUAGAGACCGCUGUUUCUUCUUUAAACCAGAGGAAGGAUACGGCAAUAACAGGUC